UCUAUGAAGUCUCACGAACUGAUAUUUGAAAUGGAAAAUUCACCAAAGGUAGAAGAAGAAAGGCCAACAGCUUGACAUUGCGGGCUCAGAAAGUUGAUUCCAAGAGUGAGAAACAUCUGAAUCUGGUAUCUAUGGAGUAGUCAAGUAUCUUAAGUAAGACUCUGUAUCCAGAUAUAGAACCAUAUAGUACUGGAGUUUUGAAGGUCUCUGAUGUUCAUACUAUCUAUUGGGAACAGUCUGGGAAUCCAGAUGGUCAUCUUGAGAGCCCUUUAGAGACCACAUCCCAGAAAAUGAAAGGGGGAGCUUCAUUAAUGCCUACUGGAAAAGAUUAAACUCUGAGAACAAGGAAACACAAUAUGGAGCUGCCAGAGAAUGGACAAAGUGGGAGAUGAUGAUUGCUCACCUCCUUCCCAAUGAAGAGACUAUUAAGAGAGGAGAUGAUGAUGAAUUUUCCCUGGUCAGU